UACGUAGGGGGCUAGCGUUGUCCGGAUUUAUUGGGCGUAAAGAGCGUGUAGGCGGCCAGGUAGGUCUGCCGUGAAAACUCGAGGCUCAACCUCGAGACGUCGGCGGAAACCAUCUGGCUAGAGUCCGGAAGAGGAGAGUGGAAUUCCUGGUGUAGCGGUGAAAUGCGCAGAUAUCAGGAAGAACACCCGUGGCGAAGGCGGCUCUCUGGGACGGUACUGACGCUGAGACGCGAAAGCGUGGGGAGCGAACAGG
rnacentral:rRNA from 1 species